rnacentral:rRNA from 1 species
UACGUAGGGUGCAAGCGUUAAUCGGAAUUACUGGGCGUAAAGCGUGCGCAGGCGGUUUGUAAGUCUGAUGUGAAAUCCCCAGGCUCAACCUGGGAAUUGCAUUGGAGACUGCAAGGCUAGAAUCUGGCAGAGGGGGGUAGAAUUCCACGUGUAGCAGUGAAAUGCGUAGAGAUGGUGGAGGAACACCGAUGGCGAAGGCAGCCCCCUGGGU